CCACUGCGGAGCCUGCGCUCUGAAGCCCCAGCCCCACGCCGAGCCCACGUGCCGCCUCUGCCGCAGAGCGAGCGCCCCAGAGCCCGCGCCCCGCAACAGCAGAGAGGCUCACGCCGCAGCUCCCCGCAACAGGACCCAGCACAGCCAUAAACAAAUGAAAAUAAAAGACGCGCACUCUCGACACACAAGGAAAUGCAAACUCGGGCAGAAGCAACAGCCUCACUUUCAUCUGAGGAGCUGGCAAAACCCGAAAAGAGUAACACCCAGGGCCGGUAGAGAUUCGGAGAAAGAGACAUUCCUGCUCAUUGCUGGUAGGAACGCGGCCAGCUGCGACUUUUCUGGAAAGGAACUUGCUUCUCUGAAAACCACACUUGACAGCAAAGAGGAAGAAACUUCUGACAUGAGCUACGAGGCGGAUGAAUGUCCAGGAUGUUGGGCCAAGUGGACAAGCCAGAGCUGGGCGAGACACGCAGGGGGAUCCCAGUGCUGGUCGUCAUUGGAAACGGUCUCACUGCAUAUGGACUACCUGACAGCCUCAGAAGCAAGAGCUCACCUGUCUCGUCCGUACCAAUCCCCAGCAUCUGCACUCCCGAGAGACGCGUGUUGAAUGAAUGAAUGACUGAGAUCCUUCACGGCGUCUCCCUAACCGGAAGGAGAGCUCCAUCCUGGGUGGCCCACGGCGGCUUACGCGCUGCUGGAUGAGGGCUCUUCCUGGUUGCGGGGGGUCCAUGCAUUGGUGGUCUCUACUGACUGUCAGCCCUCUCCCUCACAGGUAUAUUCCGGGAUUGGACACAUAACUAACUUGCUUUGGCCGAUGGGGUGGCAGCAGAUGUGCUGGGCACAGAGCCUUGGUACAGAUUUGAAUGCUGGGGUCUGUCCUCUUGGGAUGCUGCCUCUUGAAGUCCUGAGUCACUCUGUGACGAGGUCCAGCUGCUGUGAUGGCAUGGAGGCACAAGUGUGCCAGUCAUCCCCUUGUUCCAGCCACCUCAGCUGACGCCCCAGAAGUCUGGGUGAAGAUGCUCUUUGGAACCUUCCACCCCAGAAGACACCUGGCAGGGUGGAAGAACCACCCAGCUGAGCCCAGCCCAGAGUGCAGAGCCAGGGGAAAUAUGCAGUCACGUUUCAAGCAAGUUUGACAUGCUGACUUUAGCAUCGACCAAGGGAUCAAUCUGAAGGAGAGUCUUACUGCAGAGAAGGAAUCAACACGGAGCUGCUCAGAGCAGGGCGGGAAUCUGGGCUGUCACUCAUUUACCCCACUGCUAUUUACUG
ensembl:lncRNA